CUAGGAGAUGCUUUAUAACUAACGGGAGAAGUUAUAACGCUGUAUGUAUCUAUAACCAUAAGCGUAUAGCUUUUCCCCUUGGUUAUACAAGCAAAGAUCU
rnacentral:pre_miRNA from 1 species